CUAUUAUACAGCUCGAUUCCCAUGGGUUUCUUCACACGUGACUAGGAAGCUAGAAAGAGCAAAGAAAACAGGCCAUUUGGUGCCACCCAUAUUCUAAGAAUGUUUUUUUGCAUGGAUUACAAGGACUUGAAGCUCAGAAAUAUGCACACAUUCGCACUUCCUUUUUUGCAGAUUCCUCGCUCAGCGCUCACUUUGGGAUUUUUUUGGAAUCGGAAUGUCCAAAAUCUGAAUUCAACUUGUGAAAUAACUGCUACAGUCAACUGCAGUUGAAUCAAAACCCUGCCAACCUUAGAAAAUAGCUCUGGCAGAUAAUGCUGUUGCAUUUGGAUGGUGAUGAGCAUGCCAGUGACAGCAAGUGAGAUGGCAAACAAAGGGAAAGGGUAAGGCGGGGAGAAGGAUAAGAAUGAAAGAAACGAAGAGGAGGAGGAGGAGAGCAAUAGAAGUAGCUGAAAAGAGGAGGAGAAGCGCAAUAGAAGUAGCUGAGAGUUGUGAGAUAAAUGCAAAUAUAUAUAGGCAUGCAUAAAUGAAGAGAAGCUGUGUUUUCAGCAAUGUUCCCUGGUUCUAAAGUUUUAUGCACUUUGCUAGUGGAAAUAAACUGAACAGACUCACAUGUCACUAUGCAUUAGGUGAGCCCAUGUGCCUUACUUAGAGCCCUUUUGCAUAUGUUAGAGCUAAACCACUCUGCAUCUCACAUAAAUAAGGAGAUCAACUGAACCGUAAGUGAGGUGAACAUUUAUUUAUUAUAAAUAAAUUUGGGGAAGCCUCCUGAUGGCUCUGUUAAUUCACUUCAGUUAAUUCACUUCAGAAACAGAGGGGCUUACUACCAGGCCUUCAGAGAAAGAACAGGAAUCAUCUUUAAAGAAUGGUAGAAAGAAAAGAGGAGAAGGAAUAUGCAAGAAAAUUAUUAACAACUCUGUUAAUAUGUGUACGCCACUAAUGGGCAACGAUACUAGUAAAAUCAUUACAGCUUCCGAUCUAGUCACGCCACGGGUCUCCUAACAUUGCCAUAUUAAAGCUUCAUGAAAUCUCAGGUC